AUUGCUGGCAUCUUAGUUCUUAUAGUUAUUUAUUUAUUUGUUAUCUGUUUUAUUCUUUCUUGUGCUCUUGUGCUCUACCAACACAUGUUUUCCAUAUUCUUUUCAAAUACAAUCUUACCACUUAAUUAGGACCGCAUCACGGGUCCCGGGUAUUAACUUAAGUACCCAUCUGGUUACCAGGCGUUACCCAUUUAUGUAAAUUAUUGUUAUACCUCUUAGUUGUUAAAAAUUAUUGUUUCUUUGUAUGUGUAUUUUGUAUGUUUAUAAAAUUAUAUAUUUAUGUAAAAAAAAAAGGGGAAGCACGUACCACACUGGCGAAGAUAUCUCCACCUUGCUCCAGUCUGAUCCAGUCACAGCACAAUGGAUGGCUUUAUCAUCCAAAACCAAUUGUGAAGACUAUGUCUUCACCAGGGGGAGGAUGUUCACGCCAGGCAGUAGUGCCGCCUCCGUGGUCAGCUGAUACCACUGUCGGCCUUAUCAGUGGAGCCGGUUCGGUGACCAUCGGUCGGCGGCCGCCCGAUCACGGUUUUCAGGUUUUUGCGUGUGCUGUUCGAUUAUUAUCUUUUUUAACCUCGUUGUUGUUUUUUUUCGGUCGGCGGUGCCCCAACACAUGCUUUUAUUAUGUCGCUCGCUCGGAUUAUUAAGUGGUGACUGUGUUGUUCGGUUAUUCCUUUUAUUAUUAUUAUUAUUGCACCGAAUCGCAUUUCGAAGAGUUCCUUCGCCUUGUGUGUGUACAAUUGAUGUACCGGCGGAAUUUGUUAGACCAUCAUAUUGCGGAUCAAAUAAACAUCGGCGACUUGGCAAUGUUAAACAAGAGGUGAAGAGAAAAAUAAUCAGGUCGGAUCAAAUCAAAAUAUUUUUAUAUAUAUAUAUUUAAGCUAUUGUAUGAAACAUUGUUUAAAGCAGGGGACGCCCAAACUUAUUAUUAUUAUAAGCUAAUUGUUAAAAUAUAGCAUAAUUAAUUAUUC